rnacentral:rRNA from 1 species
GACGAACGCUGGCGGCGUGCUUAACACAUGCAAGUCGAACGAAGAGCGAUGGAAGCUUGCUUCUAUCAAUCUUAGUGGCGAACGGGUGAGUAACGCGUAAUCAACCUGCCCUUCAGAGGGGGACAACAGUUGGAAACGACUGCUAAUACCGCAUACGAUCUAAUCUCGGCAUCGAGGAUAGAUGAAAGGUGGCCUCUACAUGUAAGCUAUCACUGAAGGAGGGGAUUGCGUCUGAUUAGCUAGUUGGAGGGGUAACGGCCCACCAAGGCGAUGAUCAGUAGCCGGUCUGAGAGGAUGAACGGCCACAUUGGGACUGAGACACGGCCCAGACUCCUACGGGAGGCAGCAGUGGGGAAUCUUCCGCAAUGGACGAAAGUCUGACGGAGCAACGCCGCGUGAGUGAUGACGGCCUUCGGGUUGUAAAGCUCGGUUAAUCGGGACGAAAGGCCUUCUUACGAAUAGUGAGAAGGAUUGACGGUACCGGAAGAGAAAGCCACGGCUAACUACGUG